CACGUAGGGUGCAAGCGUUGUCCGGAAUUAUUGGGCGUAAAGGGCUCGUAGGCGGUCCGUCACGUCGGGAGUGAAAACUCGGGGCUUAACCCCGGGCCUGCAGUGGGUACGGGCAGACUAGAGUGCGGUAGGGGAGACUGGAAUUCCUGGUGUAGCGGUGAAAUGCGCAGAUAUCAGGAGGAACACCGGUGGCGAAGGCGGGUCUCUGGGCCGUAACUGACGCUGAGGAGCGAAAGCGUGGGGAGCGAACAGG
rnacentral:rRNA from 1 species